CACACACACACAGAAGCACAGCACCCCUCACACACACCACCUCUCACAGACACAGCACCCCUCUCUCACACACACACACACACACAGAGCAAUGGGAGCGGAGGCUAAGAAAAUGUUUAUGCACACACAGCAUCCCUCACAUACACACAGAACACCCCUCACACACAGCACAGUGUCUGUCAGGGUGUCUUUGUAUCUGCAUG